rnacentral:rRNA from 1 species
UACGUAGGGCGCAAGCGUUAUCCGGAAUUAUUGGGCGUAAAGAGCUCGUAGGCGGUUUGUCGCGUCUGCCGUGAAAGUCCGGGGCUCAACUCCGGAUCUGCGGCGGGUACGGGCAGACUAGAGUGAUGUAGGGGAGACUGGAAUUCCUGGUGUAGCGGUGGAAUGCGCAGAUAUCAGGAGGAACACCGGUGGCGAAGGCGGUUAGCUGGCCUGUAACUGACACUGAGGCGCGAAGGCUAGGGGAGCGAACAGG